UUUCCACAAAUAUGACUGUUUUAAAGACCAAAGGAAGCAAUUGCCUCCAUAGCAUCACUGCCACACCCAGGGACAGCCCAAUACAUUUUGGCACCUGAGGCAAACCACCAAAUGGCUCUCCCAUCCCCACCAGGAAAGAAGGGGUGAGUGAAGAUCCAUUAUCAAGAACAAAGCAGGGAAUAAAGAUUUACAUGGGGAUCUGCUGCCCCUGUGGAUCUGCCGCCUGAGGCAGUUGUCUCACUUUACCUCACCACACCAGCACAAAAUAACAUUUCAAAAUGAAAGUGUUUAAAAUACUCCAAAACAUCAGAGCCUAAGGGUUUCUUAAAGAGGUGCUUAUGACAAUCACACGGCUACGUUACACACAACCACUAAAUAGCAAUGGUGGGCCUAAUGGCGGAGAGAAUAGAUUUUAACAGCAGUCUCCAAAUACAGGGUGUUUGUGUGUUGAGUUCUCUGCAAUGGUAUCAACAAUACUAGCACUAAAAGGUGUCAACAAUACUAGCCCUACUCACUAUGGCUAAAGUGCAGCAAGAAUGCCAUCUUCUAUCAAAGAAUAAAAUGGCAGUAUAACACUUAAUUCUGAACCUUUACUUAGCGGCACAUGUCAAGUGCAAGCAUUUCAUAUCUAUCCAUCACAGAGUGUGCUGUUUUAAUCACUCCUGAGGUUAAGGACAUUUGAAAGUUUGCUCAAGGUCACCUUACACAUUAUAGGGGUGCAACAACUGAUUUGAAUCUGAAAACUUAAUUGUGUGUUGCUGAUUUGUAAGGCCUUUUUUAUCUGAAGAUCUAGUAAAGUGGUGAAGAUGUAGCAGGGUGACUCCACUAGCACUGUGAAUUGGCAGAUACUCAUCAAAAGUGAACAGCUAUACCAACUAAAUACUAGGGUUGGAGACUAGUUAAUUGGCCACUCAAAGAAUGCCCGUUGCCUGCUGAUUAUUUGACCAGUCAGAUAUUGUCAAAUAGUCAGGGGAGCCAAGAAUAUCCUUAGGCAGGUAGUGGCUCUGUGCCAAAGUUUUAACUGUCGUUUUCGUGAAGGUUUUCAGAACAAAGCCAAAUAGUUACCCUCAUCUUCAUAUAGUCAUAGAAUUGGUGAUGCAAAGCUGAGGCCAGGAAAAUAAAGGUGAGAAGAAAAGAAUAUUGAUGAAGUGUAAUUGCAGAGACCUUUUAAGGGGCCAAGCAUCACACAGAAAAGGCAGGCAUACUUCCAGGUGCACGGACUCCUUCCUUUUUAAAAGUUGCAAGGAUCCUCAACUGUAACUGCUUCUUGGGGAGCAUGAAUCCUGCCAAAUUUCAGGUGGAUAACUGCAGUAAGCUCCCACAAGUGUAGCUGAUACAGUGGGCACUUUAAAAAAAGGAAACAAUCACUUAAUUUUCUCUUUGGAGGGGCAAUUGGUCUGUAAAAUGCAAUACGUGAGAGAUACCCUUGGGUAAGAAACCUGCCAAAUAGCAGACAAGAGUGCCCAGGAGCUUUUGUACUAUGUAUCUUUAAAGCUCUUUCAUUACUCCUAAAUUCAUCAUAUUGGUAAAUGGUCACAGGUCUGGAUAUUUCUGUUUUUCAAAUGGAACUAGACAAGGCUGUCCCCACAAGCUGGAAACGUUUAAUUAACUUUUAAUGAUGUAAGGGGCCACUGCUUGAUGAGACUUGCUUCUAGAGGAAACAGUAGAGAAGAAUCUUGGUCGCAGGGAAGGGCAUCACUGAAUAGGAUACCUGAAGGAGCAUCUCCACCCUCAUCGUUCAGCCUGGACGCUGAGGUCCAGCUCAGAGGGCCUUCUGGCAGUUCCCUCCCUGCGAGAAGCCAAGUUACAGGGAACCAGGCAGAGGGCCUUCUCGGUGGUGGCACCCGCCCUGUGGAACGCCCUCCCACCAGAUGUCAAAGAAACAAACAACUAUCUGAUGUUUAGAAGACAUCUGAAGGCAGCCCUGUUUAGGGAAGUUUUUAAUGACUGAUGUUUUAAUGUAUUUUUAAUCUUUUGUUGGAAGCUGCCCAGAGUGGCUGGGGAAACCAGAUGGGUGAGGUAUAAAUAAUAAAUUGUUGUUGUUGUAUGGUGUUCUAUCAAGUGUUGUGCGGAAUCUCCUUUUUAAUACCACUUCUAGCUAAUAAAGAAAACCCAAAUCCCAGCAGUGCUAAAGCCUGCUCUGGUGUAGAAGGUGAAGGCGAUGAGCUAAUGGGCAACGAGAAUGCCUUGGGUCCAGGGGCAGCACAUCCUGUUUGGCUGCUUGAGGCAAAACAAGAAGCGCUCCCCUGCCCUGACCCCUCACCAGCGCCACCAGACCUGUCGUCUGCACCAAUCGCCCUGCCACAUCCACUGCUGGAAGAGAAGCAGCUCCAGCAUCAAAACUGGUGAGGUCUUGCCCAGAACUGGUGGCGAUGCCAGCCCCGCUUCUCGGCCACUGGUGGAGAAGCAAACAGGGUGCCUGCGGGGGCACUGCUAUGGGGGGCUUCCACUGCCUGGUGGCUGGGCUGGCCCUGCUUUGCUCUGAGAAAGUAUUGAGGCACCUGAAAAAGAUGUAUGUGAAUUCCUUUAAACUAAUCAUAUUGAAAUGGCACAGGGCCGAAUACUAUACAAACAUAUAAUAUAAAUUGCCACAUAAAUUACAGCAACAAGGAUAUUCAAAAUAUUAAAUAUUUUCUAUUUUAUCCUUUGGGGCAGUAGAAUGUAAAUUAACAAGUGAAUAAGUGAAUAAAUAAAGAAAUAAAAUCUCUGCAGUUCUCAGUAAUGUUAGAUAUCUGAAUUGAAAACCAACAGCUUCACAUUGAAGUUCUUCACUUUGUUUUGUCAGUUACUUCUGAAAUGACUUCCAUUGCCAGCUUGUACUGACACAGGACUUUAGGUUUAUUCCAGAAAACAAAACCUAGAACCUAGUUCAGGCAUGGGUAUCGACCCAGCAUGUUCACCAGCAAUUUCCAUCUUUUCCUUCAACAUUUUCUUCUUCUUUACAGGUGUCAUCUAAUGGGCUGUACCUGCCUUCCAGCUUUUCAUGCACAUUCUGUAUUAGAUUUUAUCAGUGCUUUUUUCUAG